rnacentral:rRNA from 1 species
AGUGAACGCUGGCGGUAGGCCUAACACAUGCAAGUCGAACGGCAGCACAGUAAGAGCUUGCUCUUACGGUUGGCGAUUGGCGGACGGGUGAGGCAUACAUCGGCAUCUACUUUUUCGUGGGGGUUAACGUAGGGACACUUACGCUAAUACCUCAUACGACCUACGGGUGAAAGCAGGGGAUCUUCGUACCUUGCGCGACUGAAUGAGCCGAUGUCGGAUUAGCUAGUUGGCGGGGUAAAGUCCCACCAAGGCGACGAUCCGUAGCUGUUCUGAGAGGAUGAUCGGCCACAAUGGAACUGAGACACGGUCCAGAGUCCUACGGGAGGCAGCAGUGGGGAAUAUUAGACAAUGGGCGCAAGCCUGAUCCAGCCAUACCGCGUGGGUGAAGAAGGCCUUCGGGUUGUAAAGCUCUUUUGUUGGGAAAGAAAAGCAGCGGGUUAAUACCCGGCUGUUCUGACGGUACCUAAAGAGUAAGCACCGGCUAACUUCGUG